CCUACGGGAGGCAGCAGUGGGGAAUAUUGCACAAUGGGGGGAACGCUGAUGCAGCGACGCCGCGUGAGUGAAGAAGUAUUUCGGUAUGGAAAGCCCUAUCAGCAGGGAAGAAAAUGACGGUACCUGACUAAGAAUCCCCGUAUAACUACGUGCCAGCAGCCGCGGUAAUACGUAGGGGGCAAGCGUUAUCCGGAUUUACUGGGUGUAAAGGGAGCGUAGAGGGUUAUGCAAGUCUGAAGUGAAAGCCCAAGGCUCCACCAUGGGAGUGCCGUGGAAACUGUAAAACUGGAGUGCAGGAGAGGUAAGCGGAAUUCGUAGUGUAGCGGUGAAAUGCGUAGAUAUUAGGCGGAACACCAGUGGCGAAGGCAGCUUACUGGACUGUAACUGACGUUGAGGCUCGAAGGCGUGGGGAGCAAACAGGAUUAGAUACCCCUGUAGUC
rnacentral:rRNA from 1 species